CGCGCCCGUUCGCGGGCGGGUGGUGAUCGGGAGGCGGCUUAUGACGCCGCCCGCCUUCGCGUUCAAGACGAAAUCGGCACGG
rnacentral:tRNA from 1 species